UACAGAGGGGGCAAGCGUUGUUCGGAAUUACUGGGCGUAAAGGGCGCGUAGGCGGCCUGUUAAGUCGAACGUGAAAUCCCCGGGCUCAACCCGGGAACUGCGUCCGAUACUGGCAGGCUUGAAUCCGGGAGAGGGAUGCGGAAUUCCAGGGUGUAGCGGUGAAAUGCGUAGAUAAUCUGGAGGAACACCGGUGGCGAAGGCGGCAUCCUGGACCGGCAUUGACGCUGAGGCGACGAAAGCCAGG
rnacentral:rRNA from 1 species